GGGUCUGUAGCCUAGAGGUUACGCUUUCGCUUCAUAUGCGAAAGGUCAUGGGUUCAAUUCCCAGCCCCU
rnacentral:tRNA from 1 species